rnacentral:rRNA from 1 species
UUUAACCUACGGGGCGCAGCAGUGGGGAAUAUUGCACAAUGGGGGAAACCCUGAUGCAGCAACGCCGCGUGAGUGAAGAAGUAUUUCGGUAUGUAAAGCUCUAUCAGCAGGGAAGAAAAUGACGGUACCUGAGUAAGAAGCCCCGGCUAACUACGUGCCAGCAGCCGCGGUAAUACGUAGGGGGCAAGCGUUAUCCGGAUUUACUGGGUGUAAAGGGAGCGUAGACGGCGAUACAAGUCUGAAGUGAAAGCCCGGG